GAGGGUACAGCUCAGUGGUAGAGCAUAUGCUUAGCACACAUGAGGUCCUGGGUUCAAUCCCCAGUACCUCCA
rnacentral:tRNA from 1 species